UGAAACACUGGUUCCUGUAUGAUCACUGAAGUUAAGCAACAUCAAACCUGGUCAGUACCUUGAUGAGUGACUGCUUGGGAAUACCAGAUACUGUAAG
rnacentral:rRNA from 1 species